rnacentral:rRNA from 1 species
AUUGAACGCUGGCGGAAGGCCUAACACAUGAAAGUCGAGCGAGCGGCGGACGGGUGAGUAAUGUAUGGGGACUGCCCGAUAGAGGGGGCUAACUACUGGAAAAGGUAGCUAAUACCGCAUACUAUCGGAUAACCCAUAUGGGAUUAUCUAGUAGGUGAGGUAAUGGCUCACCUAGGCGACGAGCACUAGCUGGUCUGAGAGGAUGAUCAGCCACACUGGGACUCAGACACGGCCCAGACUCCGACGGAGGCAGCAGUGGGGAAUAUGGCACAAUGGGCGCAAGCCUGAUGCAGCCAUGCCGCGUGUAUGAAGAAGGCCCUAGGGUUGUAAAGUACUUUCAGUCGGGAGGCGUUACCGACAGAAGAAGCACCGGCUAACUCCGUGCCAGCAGCCGCGGUAAUUC